GCCAUGCUUGGCCGGGGGCAGGUGCCGUCUAUUGAGGAGACGCGGCGGCGGAUCUUUAUCGCCGAGCGGCG
rnacentral:tRNA from 1 species